AAAGGAGAACUUAAUCAUCAAAGUUCAGUGAAGGGACAGAGCAGGGGUGCACCAAAAUUUGCUGUAACCCAGUGGGCACCACUGACCUGUUCAGCUCCAGCAACUCAGCCCAUAUCUCCAUCAGAAGUCUGGGGAGACAUGAGGAAUUUUUCACUGUGAACACAGGCUCCUGCUCAGUUUUCAAUGAUUGGUCACCCAAGCCUCACACAUGGCUCUGGGUCCCCAGGAGAACAUUUCUGUGCACGUUUCUAACAUAUCCACCAUGGAGACUCAUGUCAUUGCUUAGCUGACCCAUCACAGUGGUGUGUGGUUCCCUUAGGACACUGCUCAUACUCUUAGCUGCCAUGACAUGAGAAAUAACAGCACAGACUGGGGGAUUAGAGAGGAGAGGUUGCUCUGAAGCACCAUCUCGGGGACUGUUCCCACCAGCCAAGGUACCAGCUGCUUUUGGAGACUACCUUUUGGAGGCCCAUGUGUCCUGUUCUCUGAUGCCUUUUGUAGCUGUUGACCUCUCUUAAACAGAGAUCCCCCAGUUGCCUUCAUGUUACCUAUGAGUACAAAUCAGUUUGUCAUCCACUAGUGCUGGUUUUGUGUCUUACCAGCCCACUGCUGGCAGAAGCCCCAGUGCUCUCACCUCUGUUACCCAAUUAAUUACUUAAUUAACAGAAAUAUACAGAUAUCACUGUGACAUGCAGAGCUGUUCACCAGCCCAUAGCAGGGCAGGGCUUUAGUGGAAAAAUCCACAUGCAAACCCCAGCUCAAAGGAUGCAAGACAAAACUGCUUCAGCUCCAUGUUGCUCCAGCUUCAUUACAAAGAUGACACUCAUUCCAGCUUUCUUCUUACACAGAGCUGCUCUAUUUUUUCCAGGCACUUGGUCCUGAUGGUUUGAGCAUAUAAGAGGGAUAAAUUUAGUGUGCAAGGACCAGGAAAAGCUUUUCCUAGGCAUGGAGGAGAAGCUUGAGACUGAUCUCUCUAAUAAAAUCCUGACUAUUCCCACUCUGGGAUUCUCCACUCAGCAUCACUUUCCAUUUCCCUCUGUCCAUCCCCAUCUCUCCUCCAUCUGUACAUCAAUUCCACAUCAGCACCACCAGUUUCUCCUCUCCAGUACCUGCAGUAGGCUCUGGAUUUGUACGUGGUGUUGUCUCAUUGGAGAUAAGUCUCUAUCACCCUAUGGCUUUAGAAAGCAAAUAACUUUGGGAUGGGGCAGAGAUGUGAAUCCAGCUCCACACUGGGCAGAAGUGAUCCCGUAACCCAUCACACUGUACUUGGGCAGCAAGCCCUUCUGCAAAUGGAAUGUUCUACGGAGCCACAAUCCUGCAAAGUGCUGAGUUACCUGGCUGUUCCCAGAGCACUAAGAUUAAUCCCCCUUUUGCUGGGGUGCAGUUCUCCCAAGGAGGUGUCGCUGUCUGGCUGCCGGGAGGUACAGCUGCUCGGGGAUGGAGAGGGGCAGGGUGCUGGGAAUCACCUCCAUUGAGCUGGUACCCGAGUGAACUCACCUGCUGAACCUGUGCAAAGGGACAUCUGUCUCUAGAGCAGUGGAACUGUAAUCCUUACCCCAGAAGGGAUAUUGGGGAGUGUAAUCAACCAAUGUUUGCACAUCCUUUUCUCAUGCACUAUUUGUAUAGUACACAUACACGAAUAUGCAUACACAGAUAUUGAGAUGCCUUUGACCAUGCAAAUUAGCUGUCAAAGUAGCUUCUUAUUCCUAAGGACCAAUAGGGUAUAAAGUAACAGCCACAAAGUAUGUUCAUUGCUCUGCAGGGCUGGUUUAACGUGCUCUCUGGAUCCCUUCAGCAGUAAUUCCUUCCCUGCUCAAGCUGGCAUCAAAAUUAAUGGCAUGUCGUGUUCUAUAAGUCCUGACUUUUUAGAUGAAAGGUACAUGGUGUUGUUCACAUCAGUAUUACAGUGUAAUAAAUCAAUGCUUUCCUGUUGGAAGGAUUUCAGACGAUUUUGCAGCUUGCUCUCAGGAACUAAAAAGACAACCUGUCUGCCAGGCCCUUGGCCCAUAAGAAAUAUUUUUCCAUAAAAACAGGAACAAGAAGGGGGAAACCCCAGCAUUUCAUUGCAGUAUUGUUGUCUGCUUCGUGUAGGACACUGGGACCAGGGCAGCAACACCAAAGUUCCCUCAGGCAUCAUCACACAAGGUGGUUCACAGCAAAAGGGAGCACAUUCCCUGUGCUGAGGAGGAUGUGGACAAAACUAACAGAGGCUGGGGGGGGUAUCAGAGCCUGAUCUCACUUGAUCAAAUAGGAGCAGAGACAAAAGUAGAGUUUGCCUUCAAAUUGCCAUGCUCUAGAACAAAGUGCUCCAAAUUUCCAGAAAAGAAGCAGGAAAAGGGAAGAGGAACGAAGCCAGGACAGAGCAUCCAGCAACCCCCUGAAAGGUGCCCACACAGUUACUCUCCUGGCUGCUCUGGUAGCUGCUGCCCACAGUGCAGUUCACUUACUUAACAACAUCUUUACCAAGUAAAAUUCCCCUGCUCCCAGGAGCACAUGUGUAAGAUGGCAAGAGGCUGAAACUUGAAAGGGGAGCCGUUUUGUUGUCUCAGAUUAGCUCGAACUGUGUGACGAGCUUUCCUCACUUCAAAAUCUAUGUUGUUAACCUUGAAAUCUGCAUUAUUAAUAUUUCAACAUGAGUCCCAUCAGGAGCUGCCUCAAGAGCUCUCCUGGACUCGUGACAGUUCGUCCUGUUUGAUUCUAAUCAUAUAUGAACGCAUGAGUUAAGAAGACAUCAUUAAAAGUACAUUAAGUUUAAUUAUGCUAGCAGCCACAGACAGUGGAAGCAUCAGCUUAAUGCAGAAUGCAUAAUUAGAUCAGACCUAAUCCAUUGGAUUCAUAUUUGUUAAAGAAAAUGCUCCUUGUCUUAAGUGUCCCUACAAAGUGAUCCAUAGGGUUUGGAGGAACAGCACCAUUUUCUGGGGGCUGCUGUCCUCCCACCCCCUCUCUCUUCCUCCCUGUCCAUCACACCUGCACACUCUGCUGAGCCCUCACUCAAUUCAUUGAUUAUCCACUUUAACAAAAGCACACAAAAAACUGAGCAAGAAAAUCCCCUGCCCUGGCAGCCAAGCCCUGGGGAGAUGCUGUGGUGGUUUAAAGCAUUAUGCACUCAGAUUUCCUUUGCAAGGACCUGGCCCAUCAGAACAAUUGGUAGAUGCAAGAAUUCACCCAGUCCCAGGUGGGUACAUGGCCUCACAACCCAGCUGGACCAGUGCAGCUGUGCUCAGGAGUGGAAAUGGCUGAUACCUUUGCACACACUCCAGGCAUGUUGGCUGCAGAGUGGCUUGGGACAACUUUCCAAACAGAACAAAAAAAAGACAAAAAUAAGCUAAAAUAACGAAAGUUUUUCAGCUCCUCCUAGGGAUGAUCCAGCUCUCUCUACUAACACCAGCAGACCUGCAGGGGCCUGCAGCUGUGGGAGCAGGGAAGAUGACAUGUCCCUUUUCCCAGCAGCUUAGCAUUAUAAACCACCCACUGCAUUGUUCUGCAAAACCACAACAUUCAUGGGAAACCACCAUCACCAGUGGGCAGCCAUGGGUUGUCACCCCCAUCUUCACCCCACAGCAGGGUCACAGGGAUAACUGGUACCAGCAACCCCCCACACACCCAAGCAGCAUCACCAUAGUAGGAAUGACAAAUCUGCCAAUGCCUGAGCCUCCAGGCAGUCAGGUUGCUGUGGCUUGGUGAUUCUCAGCUGGAGUACAGUGAAUCCUGUAGCCAUGGAGGGAUUUCAGCAGCACCUCCCAGCCUAGAUCCCACAGCAGUGCCCACUGCCUGGGCAGGGCAUUUUCCAGCUCCUGAGGGCAGUCUCAGAAGUGAUGCACUUCAACUGCAAGCUGCAAAACCAACAAUGCCCUUGAGGGCCCAUGCUCACUGCCAGCCUGGUUUGCUAGAGGGAGGGGGGAAGUUACUAUGAGUCUUUACCUGUCACAGGUUAUUCACUCAUCACCCCACAGGCUAACUCAGCUCAGCACUGGGGAGGGUCUGUGAAAGCUGAGGUCCCAGUCCCAGUGGGUGGGCAAUUUCAGCUGCUGUCCCCUCCAGCCUGCAGACAGAGCAGUCUGGAAAGGGAAGAGG